AACACAGCAACACCUGCGUCUCACAUAAGGUUGUGGUGGCGGUGGUGUUGAUGAUUCAG
rnacentral:pre_miRNA from 1 species